rnacentral:rRNA from 1 species
GACAGAGGCCCCGAGCGUUAGGCGGAAUCACUGGGCUUAAAGCGUGUGUAGGCGGAUCGUUAAGUGUCUUGUGAAAUCCCACGGCUCACCCGUGGAACUGCUGGGCAUACUGGCGAUCUUGGGCCAACUAGGGGCAACUGGAACAAGCGGUGGAGCGGUGAAAUGCGUAGAUAUCGCUUGGAACGCCAAAGGUGAAAACAGGUUGCUGGGGUUGUGCCGACGCUGAGACACGAAAGCCAGGGGAGCAAACGGG